rnacentral:sRNA from 1 species
CACUCUCUCUCUCUCUCUUCUAUUUC